GACGAACGCUGGCGGCGUGCUUAACACAUGCAAGUCGAACGAUGAAGCUAGAGCUUGCUCUGGUGAAUUAGUGGCGAACGGGUGAGUAACACGUGAGUAACCUGCCCCGAACUCUGGGAUAACUGCUGGAAACGGUAGCUAAUACUGGAUACGACCUACGAAGGCAUCUUCUGUAGGUGGAAAGAAUUUCGGUUCGGGAUGGACUCGCGGCCUAUCAGCUUGUUGGUGAGGUAAUGGCUCACCAAGGCGACGACGGGUAGCCGGCCUGAGAGGGUGAGCGGCCACGCUGGGACAGAGACACGGCCCAGACUCCUACGGGAGGCAGGAGUGGGGAAUAUUGCACAAUGGGCGCAAGCCUGAUGCAGCAACGCCGCGUGAGGGACGACGGCCUUCGGGUUGUAAACCUCUUUUAGUAGGGAAGAAGCGAAAGUGACGGUACCUGCAGAAAAAGCACCGGCUAACUACGUGCCAGCCGCCGCCGUAA
rnacentral:rRNA from 1 species